rnacentral:rRNA from 1 species
ACAGACGAGGAGCUUGCUCCUUUGACGUUAGCGGCGGACGGGUGAGUAACACGUGGGUAACCUACCUAUAAGACUGGGAUAACUUCGGGAAACCGGAGCUAAUACCGGAUAAUAUUUCGAACCGCAUGGUUCGAUAGUGAAAGAUGGCUNUGCUAUCACUUAUAGAUGGACCUGCGCCGUAUUAGCUAGUUGGUAAGGUAACGGCUUACCAAGGCAACGAUACGUAGCCGACCUGAGAGGGUGAUCGGCCACACUGGAACUGAGACACGGUCCAGACUCCUACGGGAGGCAGCAGUAGGGAAUCUUCCGCAAUGGGCGAAAGCCUGACGGAGCAACGCCGCGUGAGUGAUGAAGGUCUUCGGAUCGUAAAACUCUGUUAUUAGGGAAGAACAAACGUGUAAGUAACUGUGCACGUCUUGACGGUACCUAAUCAGAAAGCCACGGCUAACUACGUGCCAGCAGCCGCGGUAAUACGUAGGUGGCAAGCGUUAUCCGGAAUUAUUGGGCGUAAAGCGCGCGUAGGCGGUUUUUUAAGUCUGAUGUGAAAGCCCACGGCUCAACCGUGGAGGGUCAUUGGAAACUGGAAAACUUGAGUGCAGAAGAGGAAAGUGGAAUUCCAUGUGUA